ACUUAAAUAGCUUAUAUUAGAGCAUGGUAUUGAAGAUACCAAGGAAAUUUAUAUUUUUAAGUA
rnacentral:tRNA from 1 species